rnacentral:rRNA from 1 species
UACGUAGGGGGCGAGCGUUGUCCGGAAUUAUUGGGCGUAAAGAGCGUGUAGGCGGUUCGGUAAGUCUGCCGUGAAAACCUGGGGCUCAACCCCGGGCGUGCGGUGGAUACUGCCGGGCUAGAGGGUGGUAGAGGCGAGUGGAAUUCCCGGUGUAGCGGUGAAAUGCGCAGAUAUCUGGAGGAACACCGGUGGCGAAGGCGGCAUCCUGGACCGGUAUUGACGCUGAGGCGCGAAAGCCAGGGGAGCAAACGGG